rnacentral:piRNA from 1 species
CAGAGUUAGUACGCUGGUCCAGCUGGU